GCCCGGGUGGCGAAAUCGGUAGCCGCGGGGGUCUUAAAAACCUCCGUCCGCAAGGACGUGUGGGUUCGAAUCCCACCCCGGGCA
rnacentral:tRNA from 1 species